rnacentral:rRNA from 1 species
AACGAACGCUGGCGGCAUGCCUAACACAUGCAAGUCGAGCGAGCCCUCUUGGUCUAGUGGCGCCAGAGUGCUUAACGCCUGGGAACCUCCCCUUCUUCUCGGCGUAACAACCCGAAAGGGGUUCUACUACUGGCUAAUGCCUUCGGACCAAAGAUUUAUCGCCUUUGGAUGGGCCCGCGUUGGAUUAGCUAGUUGGUAGGGUAAGAGCCUACCAAGGCGACGAUCCAUAGCUGGUCUGAGAGGAUGAUCAGCCACACUGGGACUGAGACACGGCCCAGACUCCUACGGGAGGCAGCAGUGGGGAAUAUUGGACAAUGGGCGAAAGCCUGAUCCAGCAAUGCCGCGUGAGUGAUGAAGGCCUUAGGGUUGUAAAGCUCUUUUACCCGGGAUGAUAAUGACAGUACCGGGGGAAUAAGCUCCGGCUAACUCCGUG